rnacentral:rRNA from 1 species
CGUAGGGUGCGAGCGUUAAUCGGAAUUACUGGGCGUAAAGCGUGCGCAGGCGGUUUAGUAAGACAGGCGUGAAAUCCCCGGGCUCAACCUGGGAACUGCGCUUGUGACUGCUAAGCUAGAGUACGGCAGAGGGGGGUGGAAUUCCACGUGUAGCAGUGAAAUGCGUAGAGAUGUGGAGGAACACCAAUGGCGAAGGCAGCCCCCUGGGUCGAUACUGACGCUCAUGCACGAAAGCGUGGGUAGCAAACAGGAUUAGAUACCCUGGUAGUCCACGCCCUAAACGAUGUCAACUAGGUGUUGGGAGGGUAAAACCUUUUAGUACCGGAGCAAACGCGUGAAGUUGACCGCCUGGGGAGUACGGCCGCAAGGUUG